rnacentral:rRNA from 1 species
CAGUGUGAUUCGUCACACUAUCAUUAACUGAAUCCAUAGGUUAAUGAGGCGAACCGGGGGAACUGAAACAUCUAAGUACCCCGAGGAAAAGAAAUCAACCGAGAUUCCCCCAGUAGCGGCGAGCGAACGGGGAGGAGCCCAGAGCCUGAAUCAGCAUGUGUGUUAGUGGAAGCGUCUGGAAAGGCGCGCGAUACAGGGUGACAGCCCCGUACACAAAAGCGCAUGUGCUGUGAGCUCGAUGAGUAGGGCGGGACACGUGGUAUCCUGUCUGAAUAUGGGGGGACCAUCCUCCAAGGCUAAAUACUCCUGACUGACCGAUAGUGAACCAGUACCGUGAGGGAAAGGCGAAAAGAACCCCGGCGAGGGGAGUGAAAAAGAACCUGAAACCGUGUACGUACAAGCAGUGGGAGCACCCUUUGGGUGUGACUGCGUACCUUUUGUAUAAUGGGUCAGCGACUUAUAUUCUGUAGCAAGGU